rnacentral:lncRNA from 1 species
UUUGGCCGGCAGCACACAUCCGGUUUCCGGAUACGGUUUCCUGAUCAGGAAUUCAGAUUCUGGAUUCCGUGUCACUAGCGCACACAUUCGGUUUUUUUCAUUCUGAAUUUACAUGGCCAGGCUACCUUGAUUCAGAAUGAAAAUUUCCGUAUGUGUGCGGCGGUCAAACCAAAUUGUUCGCGAGCGCUGCGUUCGGAAUGACGUCAUCAGGUUUUAUUCCGUUCUGAGUACCCGAACGCACGGAGAAAAUUUUAAACCGAAUGUCAGGUUUUUUUCCGUCCGGAAAAAGUAAGAACGUGUGCGCUCUUGUGAACAUUUUGUAUGAAAAAAGAGCAUUCCGGUUUCAGAAUCAGGAUUCCUGAUCAGGAAACCGGAUCAGAAAACCGGAUGUGUGCUGCCGGCCUUAAAUAGAACAU